rnacentral:rRNA from 1 species
GUAGGUGGCAAGCGUUGUCCGGAUUUAUUGGGUUUAAAGGGUGCGUAGGCGGUUCCAUAAGUCAGUGGUGAAAUACAAUAGCUUAACUAUUGAGGUGCCAUUGAUACUGCGGAACUUGAGUACAGACGAGGUAGGCGGAAUUGACGGUGUAGCGGUGAAAUGCUUAGAUAUCGUCAAGAACACCGAUAGCGAAGGCAGCUUACUAGACUGUAACUGACGCUGAGGCACGAAAGUGUGGGGAUCAAACAGGAUUAGAUACCCUGGUAGUCCACACUGUAAACGAUGAUUACUCGAUGUUGGCGAUACACAGCCAGCGUCUUAGCAAAAGCGAUAAGUAAUCCACCUGGGGAGUACGCCKKCAAMGGUG